rnacentral:lncRNA from 1 species
GCUCCUGAGCUCAAGCUAUCCACUUGCCUCAGCCUCCCAAAUUGCUGAGAUUAGAAGAAUGAGCCACUGUGCCUGUGACUUACUUCUAACCCACAGAAUAGAGCAACAGUGAGAGGAUGUCAAUUCUGUGAUAGAUUGCAAAAUAUUGUAAGUUCCUAGCAGUCUUUCUCAUUGGUUUCAAUAAAAAAAAGCUGCUGUGCUGGAGGGACCCAUGAGGCAAAGAACUGAGAGCAGCCUUUAGCUAACAGCCGGCAAGGAAUGAGGUGCUUGGUCCAGCAAUCACAGAGAAACUGAAUCCUGCUGAUGAUCAUGAGGGUGAGCUUGGAAGCAGAUUCUGUCCCAGAUGAACUUUGAUUGUGUCUUGUUAGAAACCCUGGACCAACUCCUUGAUUGCACCUGUGAGAGGCCCUGAAGCGGAGGGCCCAGCUAAGGUGUGUCUGGAUUUCUGACCCACAGAAACUGAGAUCAUAAAUGUGUGGUUUUAAGCCCUACUCCAGCACUUUCACAGUCAUUUACGGCAUCUGCAGAGCAGUGAAAAAUUUGAAUUGCCUGAGAUACAUGCUCCCUGCUGAAGUCGCACAAGCUGGCCAAUCCUGCUAAUCCUUUAAAACUCACCUGGAGGGAAGGCCUCCUUCUGCAAAGCCUCUCUUGAUGCAGAUUAUCAGCUUUCACUCUCUACCAGAUGGCAAGGAUAUUGCUGUUGGCUCAUAGGAUGUGAACAGUGGUGUUGAGAUUACCCUCAUUUGGCUGAUGAUGUCAUUGAGGCCCAGAGAAGGUAAGUAAUGUACCAAGGUUACAGACUAGUAAGUGACAGAGAUGGGUUUUGAGCCCCAUUCUUCUACAUUGUGUGCAAUAGCUCAUAUCAAGGUCACUAAAGCUGAAGACUGAAUUAUUUAUUCAAAUACUGCCAUCAUGCACCAAUAUUCUCAACAGGUAGGACACCUGGCAGGGCCUGGCUUUGGGGCUAACUUCUGCAGCUCUUUUGAUUGCCCCCACCUUACAGUUUUUGGCACAGAGCACUGUGUAGCUGGCACUUCUCUACUGGCCCGAAUGAGAAAACUUCCUCAGAGCAAAAUGUCAAGCACCAAAUAAGAUUCAUGUUUACUGUGAAGUGAUUGCUGCUUUUUAAAUGCUUAUCAGAAGCCGAAGGACAAACUCAGUAGGUUGAUUCAUGCUGAGCUCGACUACCUCCGUGAGAAAUGACUCUCCUGUAGGGCUCGAUGACCUUCAUGUCAAUGCGCUGCUCUUGUUCUCCAAUGACCACUGUCCUCCAAAGCCGGUUGUCCUCCCGUUCCUCUUCGGCCGUAUAUUCUGGAAUAGACUCUGACUCUUGGCCAGAAUCUUUGUUGGCUGUGGGAUCUUCUGGAAACAAAGCACAGAGCAAGGCUGAAGGAGCAAGACCUCCACAGUGCAGCUAAACAGCCAAAUGAGUCUCCCGCAAGUCAGGAAAACUGGAUAAAAAGAGGCCUAAAUGUGAGCAAGAGCUAUCAUGUUUGGCUUCAAGUAUGUAAGUCCAAUCUGGUAACAGACCCUUUCCCAUUCAUUGUUAGCAUAUUCACUGGGAAGCAGCAUGGGCCAGGAACUAAGGGCAACAAUGAGCUGUGUGACCUUAGGCAAAUUACUUAACUUCUCUGUGCUUCAUUGUUCUAGUUAUAAAAUGAAAUAAAUUAAAUGAAAACUAUAUAAUGAAUUAUAUAAUAUAAUGAGGUAUAUAAUAUACAAUGAAAACUAUAUAAAUGAAAAAUAUAUAGUACAAAUAUAUAAUAUAUAAUGAAACAUAUAUAAUGAAAAUAUAUACACGAAAAAUAUAAUAUAAAUGAAAAAGUAUUCAUUAAAAGAAAAUAAAUUAUGGCCCAAAUGUUUUUGAAAAACUAUACCUUAAAAACCCCUAUUUUGUUUAGAAUGUACAUUCCUGGUUCAAAAUGGUCGCGUGAGAAACCUAAGAAACAGGCUGCUUUCAAGCAUUUAUUUCAUACUUCAGAACUCAAACAUAUUUAUAAUCCAACCCUCUUAUACAGUCACUUAUCCAUGUCCUCAUGUUUACAAAAUAUAGCUAUUCAGAGGCACUUUGUGUUUUCAAAGUUUCAACCUCUGACUAUAUAUCUUUCAUUUGAAAAUUAAGGUAGAUUUAAAAAUUCAACUUAGUUUACAAUUCUGUCCUUUGCAUUUAAGACCUAAAACAGGGUUGUGGCCAUUAAACUGGUUCUUUCAACACAGCUAUGUUAACUACAUUAAAAGAGCCAUGUCAGCAAGUGGCAGUGUUAAUUACCAGCUUGCCCAGCCACCACUGCUUUGCUCGACAGUUUUACUAUGUUUAAAAAUAAAAGGUUCAGAUGUGGUGUGACAAAGCUCUCCUGACAAAAAGGAAGCAAAUACGGAGGCAAGAGAGGGGCCAGUUGGGUCAUGCCACAGUCUUCUGUGGGAUUUUGUCAAUAUAUUAGCAGGAAAGGAGCAGGAGCUGGUAGGGGCAACUGGGAUGGAUAGAGGAGCUGCUGAAGACUCUCUGGGAUGACAGGAAAUAGUACAAAUUCCAGACCUUCUUUCACCUCCUAUUUGUGUAUUUCAACCUACAGAAUCAACUACCCAGAUAACUACAGAAAUUCACACAUGAUAAAAAUGCAAUAUAAAAUCUCUACUUACACUAAAGAACUUACUCAUGUAACCAAAUACCACCUGUACCCCAAUAACUUAUGGAAAAAAAAAACUCUACUUAAGCAUAAUAGACUAUAAAACAAGUCGUUUAGCCAUUUCCUUUUUGAGGAAAUAAAGCCUUAAGCUCUGUCAAGGUAGAGUCUGAACUGCACUGCUCAUGUCGGCUCAAUGACCAUUGGUUGAAAUAAUUAGCUAAUUUGGUGAAUUUUCUAAUUAUGCUCUUCUAGGAGUGGAACUGCUAGAAUUAGCAUGUCUCUAAAAGUCAGGCCACCACUUAAUUGUGGCACUGUAUUGCUUUUAAGAUUGCGUGAAUUUUAAAAAUGAAUAAAAGCAAUAGCUGUGUCCCAGACUCUCUCGCUUUCACUUUCAAAUAUUAUAACUUCAGAGAAUUCCACCCUGGCUAGAACUGAAACAGAAACUACAUAAUGCCAUUUAAAAAAAAAUGAUUGUAUUUGUACAUAUUUCUUAAACCAGAUUUCAUAGAGUAAGAGAAAGAACUAAAGAAAGACUGAAGUUCAUAUCAGGAGUGUCAGUCUUGGAUGAUCUGAAAACUUUUAAUUAUCUUCUUUUUUAUCAUUUCUCUCACUCCCCCUAAACCAUCCCUUCCUUCCUUCCCACUUUAUUGGAGACGCAGGAUCAAAUAUAAAGUCCUUGCUCCUGUGGAGCAUACAUUCGAGUGGUAAGAGAAAGACAAUAAAGAUGCAAACAAAUAGUUAAAUAAUACAAUUUGAAUUAGUGAUACGUGGAAAAUAAAAUGAACACUGGGACAGAGAGUGACUAGGUGGUGGGAGUCGGGAAGUGGGAAGCAUCUUUGAUUACAGAGGUCAAGGAAGACUUCUCUGAGGAGGUGACAUCUGAUUAACAUCUGAAUAAAGAGAAGGAGUCAGUCACGUAAGGAUCUGGGGAAAAGAACAUUGCAGAUAGUGGGAACUUAUACAAGAAAUUGGCAAGCUCUGAUUUCUCUUCUUCAAAUUUUAUCGUCCUGAUUAAAUUCUCUUCCCCUGCAAACCCAGCCCCAGGUUUCUUGUAACACAGCAUGUAACAGUCUUCCCUCAGCCCCAGUGCCUAGCAUAAAUGCUAGCACAGAGUGGGGGUUAAUAAAGAGCAAUGGUUAUGUAUGGCCUCUGUGACCCAUACUUUCUCUGUCAGGCUCCAAACUGUCAAUCAUGGCCACCUAUAACCUGAAAUAAAAACAGAAGCUUCUAGAAAUCACAAAAAGGAUCCACUGGCACAAAAAUGAGAGGUCUGUUAGAAAAUCUUUUACUUAUUUAGCAUUUAACUUUGGCCUUGCCAACUUAGUGACUUACCAUGGCCAGUGUACUCAAAAGAAUCUGCUUCAUCGGGGGUAUCAAGUUCAUCCACAUUGAUGUCAAUUUCAUCUGGACUGUCCAAGUUAUCAUCAGAGAGAAUAGAUCCUUCACUUUGGUCCAGAGAAAGAUUGAUAUUUGGGGCUGUGAGCUUGAUUCUCCGAGGAUGAGUGUCAUUAAGAUCCAGAGAAUUAGGAGGUUCUAAAGAAGAAAGAGAACAGCAACAUCAAGUAUUAAACCAGAGGAGCAAUCUAAAUCAAAAAUUUCAAAAUCCCAAAUGCUCCAAAAUCUGAAACUUUUUGAGUGCCAACAUGACGUGUCAAGGAAAUACUCACUGGAGCAUUUUGGAUUUCAGAAUUUUGAAUUUGGGAUGUUCAGCCAGUAAGUAUAAUCCAAAUAUUCCAAAAUCUGAAAAAAUCCAAAAUCUGAAACACUCUGGUCCAAGCAUUUAAGUAAGGGAUACUUAACCUAUACGUGGCUGCCAAGAGUGGGUUUGGGCCCAGUGGAAAACAUUUUUAAAGUCCUUUCAGCAAAAGCAGACCUGAUAGAAAUCUUUGUAUGAGAUAUAGACACCCUUCUUGAAAGCAGCCCUCUGUAACUGGAUCCUCCCAACCCCCUCAGCCUUGGCCAUGUAGAAACAGGAAGUAGGAGUUAUUACUAAAUGGUUAGAUAACUAGUUUUUAGAAUUUCCCUGUUCAAGUUUGAAAACUUGAAAUUGCUAUAAUAAUUGAAUUAAAUUUUCACGGGGUAUACUGCAUAAGAAAAAUAGUUAAGUUUACAUAUACAGUUGUCCCUUGAUAUCCAUAAGGGAUUGAUUCCAGGACCCCUGGUGGAAACUAAAAUGUACAGAUGCUCAAGUCCCUAAUAUAAAAUGGUGUAGUGUUGACAUAUAACCCAUGCACAUCCUUCUGUAUACUUCAAAUCAUCUCUAGAAUAAUUAUAAUACCUAAUACAAAGUAAAUAGUGUUUGCACUGUGUUUAGAAAUAAUGACCAGGAAAAAAAGUUUGUACAUGUUCAGUACAGAUGCGAUUUUUUUUUCUUUGAAUAUUUUUCUUCUGUGGUAGGUUGAAUCCACGGAUUUGGAACCAUGGAUAGAAAGGGCCAACUAUAUUUUCUAAUCGUUUGUGUUGACUUUGCUCCUAUGGAAUGUACGUUAAGAACUUUGUCAUGUUCACAGACACUCCCAAAAUACUUCUUUUAGGUCCUGACAACUCUGUAUAUGAUCUUCAGUGCCCUUUACCUGGCCGAAGUAUCCUCCCAGGUAACAUUCUUUGAACUCACCCAAGCAGUCACCAGCUCUUAUGCCAAUCUCGCUUGACAUUGGUUCCCAUAACAUAAGUGACAAUCUUAUGUGUAGGCUCCCUCCUCUCAUUGUAGUAUGCAUCUUCCCGCUCAGCUGCCUUUCAUUUAAUAGAAGCAGAGCUGGAGAAGUCAUUUUUUAACCAAGCUUAAACUAACAAAACAAAGGUAGAGACAUACCCUACUGUAGUAUAAUAAGAAAUGUAUUUGGUCUUUGGCCCUGGUUCCAGGCACAGAGGUCUUAAAACCCUUGUCAUUUCCUAAGGUGGAUAGUGUCAGAAUUGAAUUAUAGGACACCCAGUUGGUGUUCAUUAGAAAAUUGCUUGGUGUGUGGCAAACAAAACAAAACAAAACCCUACACAUCUGGUCACAGAAGUGUUCAGUGUGAGAGCAGAGUAGGAGAAAACAGUUUGUUGCCUUCACCUAAAACCAGAAAUGACAGGAUUCCUAAGCACGAAAUAUUUUGAAGACCAUUUGGCAUACCCUUCAACUCUGGAAUUCUGGCUCUGGCCUUGUCCUGGAGAAAUUGGCACUGUUCCCCUGUCAGUCAUUAAGCUUUUUCUUUUCUGAAUGGAACAUCACCCAAACUCUGUUCUAGGUAAUGGUUUUAUGUAUUACUUGAAAAAGGUUUCUAUUGACAAGUAAGUUUCAACACUGAGUUUCUAUAUUUCAGGAAUUUGCAGAGCAGUGAUGUCCCAAAGAAUUCUUUGUGAUGAUGAAAAGGUUCUAUAUUUGGCUAUUGAGCACUUGAAAUGAGGCUAGUGCAACUGAAGAAGAGCAUUUUAAAAAAUUGUUUUUAAUUUUAAUUAAUUUAAAUAGCCACAUGUGACUAGCUGCUUACCAUAUCAGAUAACCAUAGCCUUAGUGCCUUUAUCAUUCAAAAGUACAUUGUGAACUUGGAAGAUUCAAAUAAACAUACUGUGGUUACCAAGCAUAUUUGGCCAUAGAACAUUUAGAAAUAAUUCUGUUACAUGACUAGUAUUUUGAAGAAUGCAUUUCAAAUACUACGACAGAAAAGAAAUGUAAUUGCCUUCCUUCUUCCUACCACACUGUAGGCUUGGCUGAGAAUACAUGAUUCAGGAUCUUGGUAUGAUCCUGGAGUUGGUGUAAUGCAAGAGAGUGACCCUGGAAUACAGUGAGAGUCAUAUAAGUUGCAAUUGAAAAAUUAAAUUCCUUUUUGUGUAUGCCUUGGGUUGUAAACCCCUAAAAUGUAGGGUAGUUGUUUUUUAUUGUUGUUGUCUUGGUUUUGGUUUUGAUAGUUAGGAUACUGAGCAUUCUUGAUAUCACAUUUCCAAUUUUAAACAUUCUUACAAUUAUGUGUAAAUGCGGAGAACUUAGACAUUAGUCAGAAUUUGGUACAAUAUACAGUAGCCAAUUAUCACAGGAACUGAAAACAUUGGCAGAUAAGGCUGUGGUCUAGGAGAUAAAAUGCAGCCCACACUAGCGAGCAUCAGUAUUCAAGCCAACUCUUAAAUUAACCAAAUGCAGCCUAACACCUUCAUAUCACACAUUUCUUUUUUCCUCUCACUGUUAUCACUGAAAUCAUAAGUUAGAUGCACAGGAAAUAAUUCUUUCACUGAAUAAUGAAAACGUUGGGAUACAGAAUACCAACGAAGGAAAUGAACAAAUGCUGCUCUCACCAGGCCUCAUGUCUGCAGCACUGGGACUCAGCACGCCCUCUUCAAAGGGGAUGUCCAUUCCUACAUCCUCUGACAGUAGUCUGCAAAAAAAGCAAAGCAAAGCGCGUCAACAACAACUGUGUAAGACUUCAUUUCUUUUGAAAAGGAAACCCACAGAGUCCAGGAUAACAUUUUCAACUCACUUAAAAUAAACCAUGUAUGGGGACUGAAUCCACUGUAAGUGGUCCCAAAUUAAAGACUUUCUGCAGUUAUGGUAAAUGAGAAAAAUGGACACCAAUUUCACUUGCUUACAUCAAGUCACUUCUGCUAGCUCACUUAAUAAACACACACCAAGUGGGAAACUCAGAAAUAGGAAAUGCAAACAACUAAUAAAAUAUACUUCGGGGACAUUUAAUAUAUAUAUAUUUUUAACAACAGGGUCAAUAUAUGUGCUUUGUACACAUCUCUUACUCUGUAAAUUUGAGUAUUUUAAUUAAAUUCCCAUGGACAGAGGGAGAGCAUAUUCUGUUGAUCUCAGUUUUCAUUUGUAAACUAGGGAUAUACACCUACUUCACCACGUUGUUUAAAGAUUAAGCUACAAAAGUAAAGUGCCUAACACUCCUGAGCAGGCAUAGACUGAUGUUAUUUUUCUUCCUUUUUUGAAUAUUUAAAGAGUCACUGUGAAUAUAUGUUGGUGAAGAUGGCUCUGGUCAUGACUUCCCACCUCUUGUUUCUAAUCAGUGCUGAGCCCACAACCAUCUGUAUUAGCACAUUUGGUAAGAAGUGUAGGGAAACAGGAAAUACCAAAGGCAAUUGUGACGAAUCUAUAUGUUCUUCUAAGAAGCUGACCACUGUUCACGAUAAAUUUCUCUUGAUUUAUUUUCAUCCCUGGACCUUUGUUCAGUAAGACCCCAUUUACCAUAAUAUAUAUUUCUUCUCUGUGAGUUUCACGUAAUUUCAUUCACCUAGGGUGAGUCCUUAUGAUGUGGGCACUAACCUAAUUUUAAACAUGAUAAACCUUUAUGUUAAAGUUCUUAAUUUAGUCCCCUUCUGCCUCUCUUACUGUACUUUGCACUAUGUAACGCUGGAUCUACCAAACCUUUGGAGUUUAAUCUGCUUCUCCAGGAUGCAAGUCAAAUCCCCUACUGUCAAUAAAGCACUAUGAUGAAAGAAAAUAAUCUGCACCCUUAGCGAUUACUGCAUUUGCUUCAUUUAUUCAACAAAUAUCUAUUAAGUGUCUACUAUGUGCCGAGGAUAUAGAGGAACAAAACAGACCCGUCUCAUUCUCGUGGUGGAGUUGGGAUGAUGGAGCUAAUACAAUGACCCCUACCUUCAAAAACUCAGUGCUGCUCCCCUGGAUAGAGUGAGGCUUAAACAUGAAAAUUUGAGGAACGCUGAGCAGGAAUAGAAGGAAAGCCUACAUUUUUAUCAUUUCAACCUCUUUGCUUUUCAGAGAAUAAUUAACUCCUUGGCUGUGAAUGAUGGAUGCAUGGAGAAUUCUACCUCUUGCCUGCAGGCUAUUUGCUAGCUUCUUUUAAUAUUUUUCCUAUAACCUUAAGAUCUAUGAAUAGAUUUGUUUGUUGUGGAGAAGAUUAAAUUAGAUGGCAUAAUCUCACAUUGGAGAGGGGCAUAUACUUAUUUAGGAAGUGAGUUUACAGUUCACAACCAGGAUGGCUCAAAGGGAUCUCAAACUGAACAUGUUCAAAACCUAAUCCCACAUCUUCCUCUACGCAGAUCCGCUACAUCCUACCUUCUCUGUGACGACUUUGAAAAGUGUCCAUGAAUUCUUUGACACUCUUUUCAAAAGGUGGAGCCUAAUUUCCCGUCCCUUAAGUGUGGACUGAUGAUUUGCUUCUAAAGAACAGAAUAAGGUGGAAUGGAUGGUAGGUGACUUCUAAGGCUAGGUCCUAAAAAGCACUGUGUGCUUUGUUCUCUCUUGGGUCUCUCAGUCUGGGAGAAACCAGCUACCCUGUUGUAAGGACAGUCAAGCAGCCCUGUGGAGAGUCCAUGUGGCAAGGAACUGAGGCUUCCUGUGAAAAUCCAGGAAGGAACUGAAGCCUUCUGCCAACAGCCAUGUGAACGAGCCAUCUUGGAGGCAGAUCCUGCAGCCUGGCUAAUGUCUUGAUGGCAACUUAACAAGAUACCUUAAGCCAGAACCAUCUAGCUAAUACACUCUUGAAUUCCUAUUACAAACACUGGGAAAUAAUCAAUGUUUGUUGUUUUAAGCUGCUAAACUUUGAUAUUAUUUAUUUUAUUCAUUUAUUUUUUG